rnacentral:rRNA from 1 species
AUUGAACGCUGGCGGCAGGCCUAACACAUGCAAGUCGAACGAGUGGCGGACGGGUGAGCAAUGUAUGGGAAACUGCCCGAUGGAGGGGGAUAACUACUGGAAACGGUAGCUAAUACCGCAUACCAUCAGAUGUGCCCAGAUGGGAUGAGCUAGUCGGGGGGGUAACGGCUAACCUUGGGGACGAUCCCUAGCUGGUCGGAGAGGAUGACCAGCCACACUGGAACUGAGACACGGUCCAGACUCCUACGGGAGGCAGCAGUGGGGAAUAUUGCACAAUGGGCGCAAGCCUGAUGCAGCCAUGCCGCGUGUAUGAAGAAGGCCUUCGGGUCGUAAAAUUCUGUCAGGGAGGAGGCGUUACCUACAGAAGAAGCACCGGCUAACUACGUGCCAGCAGCCGCGGUAAUUC